UACGUAGGGUCCGAGCGUUGUCCGGAAUUACUGGGCGUAAAGCGUGCGCAGGCGGUUAUGUAAGACAGAUGUGAAAUCCCCGGGCUCAACCUGGGAACUGCAUUCGAUACUGGAUAGCUAGAGUUCGGCAGAGGGAAGCGGAAUUUCGGGUGUAGCGGUGAAAUGCGUAGAUAUCCGAAGGAACAUCAGUGGCGAAGGCGGCUUCCUGGACCAGAACUGACGAUCAGGCACGAAAGCGUGGGGAGCAAACAGG
rnacentral:rRNA from 1 species